rnacentral:rRNA from 1 species
UAAUACAGAGGGUGCGAGCGUUAAUCGGAAUUACUGGGCGUAAAGCGUGCGUAGACGGUUAUAUAAGUCGGAUGUGAAAGCCCCGGGCUCAACCUGGGAAUUGCAUUCGAGACUGCAUAGCUAGGGUGCGGAAGAGGGAAGCGGAAUUUCGGGUGUAGCGGUGAAAUGCGUAGAUAUCCGAAGGAACAUCAGUGGCGAAAGCGGCUUCCUGGUCCAGCACCGACGUUCAGGCACGAAAGCGUGGGGAGCAAACAGGA